AAGUCGUAACAAGGUCUCCGUUGGUGGACCAGCGGAGGGAUCAUUACCGAGUUUACAACUCCCAAACCCCUGUGAACAUACCUAUCGUUGCUUCGGCGGAUCCGCCCCGGCGCCCUCGGGCCCGGAUCAGGCGCCCGCCGGAGACCCAAAACUCUUGUAUUUCUUUAGUAUCUUCUGAGUAAACAAGCAAAUAAAUUAAAA
rnacentral:misc_RNA from 1 species